rnacentral:rRNA from 1 species
UACAGAGGUCUCAAGCGUUGUUCGGAUUCAUUGGGCGUAAAGGGUGCGUAGGCGGCGCGGUAAGUCGGGUGUGAAAUCUUGGAGCUUAACUCUGAAACUGCAUUCGAUACUGCCGUGCUUGAGGACUGGAGAGGAGACUGGAAUUUACGGUGUAGCGGUGAAAUGCGUAGAUAUCGUAAGGAAGACCAGUGGCGAAGGCGGGUCUCUGGACAGUUCCUGACGCUGAGGCACGAAGGCCAGGGGAGCAAACGGG